rnacentral:rRNA from 1 species
GACGAACGCUGGCGGCGUGCUUAACACAUGCAAGUCGAACGGAAAGGCCCUGCUUUUGUGGGGUGCUCGAGUGGCGAACGGGUGAGUAACACGUGAGUAACCUGCCCUUGACUUUGGGAUAACUUCAGGAAACUGGGGCUAAUACCGGAUAGGAGCUCCUGCUGCAUGGUGGGGGUUGGAAAGUUUCGGCGGUUGGGGAUGGACUCGCGGCUUAUCAGCUUGUUGGUGGGGUAGUGGCUUACCAAGGCUUCGACGGGUAGCCGGCCUGAGAGGGUGACCGGCCACAUUGGGACUGAGGUACGGCCCAGACUCCUACGGGGGGCAGCAGUGGGGAAUAUUGCACAAUGGGCGGAAGCCUGAUGCAGCAACGCCGCGUGCGGGAUGACGGCCUUCGGGUUGUAAACCGCUUUCGCCUGUGACGAAGCGUGAGUGACGGUAAUGGGUAAAGAAGCACCGGCUAACUACGUG